AUUGAACGCUGGCGGCAUGCCUUACACAUGCAAGUCGAACGGCAGCACGGGAGCAAUCCUGGUGGCGAGUGGCGAACGGGUGAGUAAUAUAUCGGAACGUGCCCAGUCGUGGGGGAUAACGUAGCGAAAGCUACGCUAAUACCGCAUACGAUCUAUGGAUGAAAGCGGGGGAUCGCAAGACCUCGCGCGAUUGGAGCGGCCGAUAUCAGAUUAGGUAGUUGGUGGGGUAAAAGCCUACCAAGCCUUCGAUCUGUAGCUGGUCUGAGAGGACGACCAGCCACACUGGAACUGAGACACGGUCCAGACUCCUACGGGAGGCAGCAGUGGGGAAUUUUGGACAAUGGGCGCAAGCCUGAUCCAGCAAUGCCGCGUGCAGGAUGAAGGCCUUCGGGUUGUAAACUGCUUUUGUACGGAACGAAACGGCUCUUUCUAAUAAAGGGAGCUAAUGACGGUACCGUAAGAAUAAGCACCGGCUAACUACGUG
rnacentral:rRNA from 1 species